rnacentral:pre_miRNA from 1 species
UUUAAGUACAAUUAUGAGUUUUCAUGCUCAAUUUUAAUAUUUCGUCUAAUUUGGAAAAAAAUAUGAUAAUUAUUUUUUUUAUGAGAUAAUAAAACAUGAAUAAUAUUUUAUUCAUAACUUAUGUUUUUAAUUUUUUAAAAAAAAUUAAAUAAGAAGAAUGAUUAAAGUUGAGUGUGGAAAAUUAUGGCUGCACUUCAA